GAACAGCAUUCAUUUUGUUCAAUAUUCCAUGAAGACUAUCAGAUACACCAUCUUUUCUUCUGAGUAAUAGCAGGCACUCUCGGGCUGUCAGAUGAUAUGCCAGGUAGAACCUUUCUGCUGAGAGGGAGGAUUUACAACUGCGCUCAUCUGAUUCAGAACAUACGUGGGAUUCACUAGUAUGACACCUCAACAAAUGGUCACUUCACACAUGUCAAUAACACUCAUUUCACAACUAUUUAUUGAUGAUCUAUAAUUUGCAAGUUGUAGUCUGAGCACUAGGGUAUAGCAGCAGGCUCUUUUCAUGGAAGAUACAUGAAAUAAGUAAGUAAAUAGUACAGGCAGCUAUUUUCAUUUGAACUGUGACAAAACCUUUCUGAACAGGAGGCUUUGAAUGAAUUUCUGAAAGGAGUCAGUCAAGCGAAGACAUGGGACAUUGCAUUCCAGGCAGGGGAACAGCCCACUUAAAGGCCCUGAGGCAGAAA